rnacentral:rRNA from 1 species
UACGUAGGUGGCAAGCGUUGUCCGGAAUUAUUGGGCGUAAGCGCGCGCAGGCGGCCUCUUAAGUCUGAUGUGAAAGCCCCCGGCUCAACCGGGGAGGGCCUUGGAAACUGGGAGGCUUGAGUAUAGGAGAAGAAGAGUGGGAAUUCCACGUGUAGCGGUGAAAUGCGUAGAGAUGUGGAGGAACACCAGUGGCGAAGGCGACUCUUUGGCCUAUAACUGACGCUGAGGCGCGAAAGCGU